GACGCUCUCGGAGCAGGCGCGCAGACCCGGCCGCAGCCCGCGUGCACGGGGAUACGGGGGGCGAGAACGCAGCCUCGCCGGGUGCGGAUGCCAGGGGAGGAUGCCGUCGCGGCGCCGGGCUCCGUUUCUCUCCCGCCGACCUUAGGGGCGAAGGCCACCUUGCCCGUCCCUCCCGCCGAGUGUGACCCGCUGCCCCGAGGCCCCACCACCAGGUUAAGAGAGAUGGAGAGCUCCACAAGGAUUUGGAGAAGAGUCCCAAUAAUUAUUAAAAUCCUGGACUAGAUCGAUUAGGAAAGGUAAAUGGACUAUAAGGCACUUGCCCAAGAAACUGCACUAGAAAUUUUAGGAUACAAUCAAGACACAACAGGCUGGAAAGUGGUUAAGACUUCAAAAAAGAUAACUGUUUCCAGCAAGGCUUCUAAAAAAUUCCAUGGAAAUCUAUAUCGUGUUGAAGGAGUGAUUCCAGAAUCGACAACUAACCUAUCUGAUUUCCUCUACAAACCUGAAAACAGAGUUACAUGGGAUAAAGCAUUAAAAGUGUACAAUAUGGUACACAGGAUUGAUUCGGACACAUGCAUAUGUCAUACCAUCACACAAAGCUUUGCCAUGGGCUCAAUCUCCCCCCGGGACUUUGUCGACUUAGUGUACUUCAAGCGCUGUGAAGGGAAUAUGGAUAUUAUCAGUUCUAACAGUGUGGAUUUUCCAGCAUAUCCUCCAUCUUCAAAUUAUGUCCGUGGUUAUAACCAUGCUUGUGGCUAUAUAUGUUCUCCUCUGCAAGAGAACCCAGCACAUUCCAAACUAGUGAUGUUUAUUCAGACAGAAAUGAGAGGAAAAUUGUCCCCAUCCAUAAUUGAAGCAACCAUGCCUUCCAACUUGGUAAGCUUCAUCCUCAAUGCAAAGGACGGAAUAAAGGCACUGAGAAGUCCAUCGGGAUGCGGACACCAUCAGGGUGGUCACUCAUCGUUCCUAAAGAAUUAAGGCCGUAGAAAGCAUGUGUGGCAAUGACUGCGGUUUACUUCCAAACCUUUUUUCUGAACGUGCUUAUUUAUGUACAUUGUGGAAAUCUGAUCCUGCUCUCUUCCAGUCUGCCAACAGCUCUUUUUGUACCUCUUCUGGUAGUUCAUAGAAAACUUCAGGAUCAACAUCAGAAGGAAAGAUUUUCCAGAAAGGAUUUCUUCUUGAAUAUCUACUGGAAGCUCCUUAAAGACUUCUUGGUCAAUACCUUCAGGAAGUGAGCGGAGUGGGAAUUCAUCACUGUCUUUUUCUUUAGAAAAAUCUGCAGUAUCUCGUGGAGCCUCCCCAGUUCUUGUACUUUCAAUUCUUCCAGAUGGUAGAAAAUCCCAAUUUGUUUCUUUGUCUUUGGGAAAAUCUUCCAUAUGACUGUCUUUCAUUUUCUAGGACACAAGAAUAACAGUAAUUAGAGGUAUCCGAUAUUUUUUAAAUAUUCAUGAUGCUGAAGAGGACUAUUACCUGACCAACACGUUUCUGUCCUACUCAAUAAUUUCAAUCCUUUUGGCCAAUUCCAAACAACGAGAGAUGAUAAAUCCACCACAUUAGUCACACUAUUGUGUGCAUCUUUCUUCACUAUUCAAGGGAGAGGUUUCCUUCCUAGAUAGUAUUGAGCCAGAAGAUAGGUAUGCAUCUGGAAACUUGGAAAGGACCUUAACAAUCAUGUUUUCAA